GUUCGAAUCACACCACCGGAAGCCCUCUCUCUCCGUUCGAAUUGCACCAUCGGAAGCCCUCUCUCUCUAUUCGAAUCGCACCAUCGGAAGCCCUCUUCUCUGUUCGUUUUGCUUCACUGAUGUGACACCAUCGGAAGCCCUAAUCUCCGUCCAUUUCGCACCAGGCGUUUGGCUCCACGGUCUUGGAUUUCAAGGUCUCAAGUGAACAUGAUGAGAUCCAAAGUCAUUUGGCAAUUGUUCUUCGUAAAUAGUUGAGUCCAUGCAUUUAAUGCUCGGGAGAAUUGCACUGGUUUUCUUCAUCUCUCAUUGUGGAUCCACACAAGCACCAUGUAUACAUAUAGGGCCUACUGCACACGUUUCAUUAUUUUCUAAUUGUGUAGAAGAUUAAGUUAAUCGUUCCAUAUUUGAGGAUAAUCCGAUGCGAGCUCAACUCCUCUUUCAGCAUCCUUGGAAACUAAAAUCAUUACAAGGUUCAAUUAUAUGAAAUGCAUCUUCUGCACCAUUAUAUUAUUAAUUGUUAUUAUUUUUUAGAUAUUUUAUAAUCAUUUUGAAAUAUACUAUUUUGAAUUCAGCAAUAUUACCAGGUAGAAAUUACAAAUGGUUUUUAGAUUGG